CGAACGAUGAAGCCCAGCUUGCUGGGUGGAUUAGUGGCGAACGGGUGAGUAACACGUGAGUAACCUGCCCUUAACUCUGGGAUAAGCCUGGGAAACUGGGUCUAAUACCGGAUAGGAGCGUCCACCGCAUGGUGGGUGUUGGAAAGAUUUAUCGGUUUUGGAUGGACUCGCGGCCUAUCAGCUUGUUGGUGAGGUAAUGGCUCACCAAGGCGACGACGGGUAGCCGGCCUGAGAGGGUGACCGGCCACACUGGGACUGAGACACGGCCCAGACUCCUACGGGAGGCAGCAGUGGGGAAUAUUGCACAAUGGGCGCAAGCCUGAUGCAGCGACGCCGCGUGAGGGAUGACGGCCUUCGGGUUGUAAACCUCUUUCAGUAGGGAAGAAGCGAAAGUGACGGUACCUGCAGAAGAAGCACCGGCUAACUACGUGCCAGCAGCCGCGGUAAUACGUAGGGUGCGAGCGUUAUCCGGAAUUAUUGGGCGUAAAGAGCUCGUAGGCGGUUUGUCGCGUCUGUCGUGAAAGUCCGGGGCUUAACCCCGGAUCUGCGGUGGGUACGGGCAGACUAGAGUGCAGUAGGGGAGACUGGAAUUCCUGGUGUAGCGGUGGAUGCGCAGAUAUCAGGAGGACACCGAUGGCGAAGGCAGGUCUCUGGGCUGUAACUGACGCUGAGGAGCGAAAGCAUGGGGAGCGAACAGGAUUAG
rnacentral:rRNA from 1 species